AGCGAACGCUGGCGGCAGGCCUAACACAUGCAAGUCGAACGAACCUUUCGGGGUUAGUGGCGGACGGGUGAGUAACACGUGGGAACGUGCCUUUAGGUUCGGAAUAACUCAGGGAAACUUGUGCUAAUACCGAAUGUGCCCUUCGGGGGAAAGAUUUAUCGCCUUUAGAGCGGCCCGCGUCUGAUUAGCUAGUUGGUUGAGGUAAUGGCUCACCAAGGCGACGCUCAGUAGCUGGUCUGAGAGGAUGAUCAGCCACAUUGGGACUGUGACACGGCCCAAACUCCUACGGGAUGCAGCAGUGGGGAAUCUUGCGCAAUGCGCGAAAGCCUGACGCAGCCAUGCCGCGUGAAUGAUGAAGGUCUUAGGAUUGUAAAAUUCUUUCACCGGGGACGAUAAUGACGGUACCCGGAGAAGAAGCCCCGGCUAACUUCGUG
rnacentral:rRNA from 1 species